rnacentral:rRNA from 1 species
UGGGGAAUUUUGGGCAAUGGGGGAAACCCUGACCCAGCAACGCCGCGUGAAGGAUGAAGUAUUUCGGUAUGUAAACUUCGAAAGAAUAGGAAGAAUAAAUGACGGUACUAUUUAUAAGGUCCGGCUAACUACGUGCCAGCAGCCGCGGUAAUACGUAGGGACCAAGCGUUGUUCGGAUUUACUGGGCGUAAAGGGCGCGUAGGCGGCAUGACAAGUCACUUGUGAAAUCUCUGGGCUUAACCCAGAACGGCCAAGUGAUACUGUCGCGCUAGAGUGCAGAAGGGGCAAUCGGAAUUCUUGGUGUAGCGGUGAAAUGCGUAGAUAUCAAGAGGAACACCUGAGGUGAAGACGGGUUGCUGGGCUGACACUGACGCUGAGGCGCGAAAGCCAGGGGAGCAAACGGGAUUAGAUACCCACGUAGUCCCUGAGCGGGCUGGCAAGGCGCAUA